rnacentral:rRNA from 1 species
GACGAACGCUGGCGGCGUGCUUAACACAUGCAAGUCGAACGGUGAAGCGCCUUCCUUUUUGGUGGGUGUGGAUGAGUGGCGAACGGGUGAGUAACACGUGAGUAACCUGCCCCCUUCUUCUGGAUAACCGCAUGAAAGUGUGUCUAAUACGGGAUAUUCUGGGUCUGUCGCAUGAUGGGUCUGGGAAAGAUAUUGUUUCGGUGGGGGAUGGGCUCGCGGCCUAUCAGCUUGUUGGUGGGGUGAUGGCCUACCAAGGCGGUGACGGGUAGCCGGCCUGAGAGGGUGGACGGUCACACUGGGACUGAGACACGGCCCAGACUCCUACGGGAGGCAGCAGUGGGGAAUAUUGCACAAUGGGCGCAAGCCUGAUGCAGCGACGCCGCGUGAGGGAUGGAGGCCUUCGGGUUGUGAACCUCUUUCGCCAGUGAAGCAGGCCUGCCUCGUUUGUGGGUGGGUUGACGGUAGCUGGAUAAGAAGCGCCGGCUAACUACGUG